rnacentral:rRNA from 1 species
UUUGGACAAUGGUAGGAGAGCGUUCUAAGGGCGUCGAAGCAUGAUCGCAAGGACAUGUGGAGCGCUUAGAAGUGAGAAUGCCGGUGUGAGUAGCGAAAGACGGGUGAGAAUCCCGUCCACCGAUUGACUAAGGUUUCCAGAGGAAGGCUCGUCCGCUCUGGGUUAGUCGGGUCCUAAGCUGAGGCCGACAGGCGUAGGCGAUGGAUAACAGGUUGAUAUUCCUGUACCACCUAGUAUCGUUUUAAUCGAUGGGGGGACGCAGUAGGAUAGGCGAAGCGUGCUGUUGGAGUGCACGUCCAAGCAGUAAGGCUGAGUGUUAGGCAAAUCCGGCACUCAUAAGGCUGAGCUGUGAUGGGGAGAGGAAAUUGUUUCCUCGAGUCGUUGAUUUCACACUGCCGAGAAAAGCCUCUAGAUAGAUAACAGGUGCCCGUACCGCAAACCGACACAGGUAGUCAAGAUGAGAAUUCUAAGGUGAGCGAGCGAACUCUCGUUAAGGAACUCGGCAAAAUGACCCCGUAACUUCGGGAGAAGGGGUGCUCUUUAGGGUUCACGCCCAGAAGAGCCGCAGUGAAUAGGCCCAAGCGACUGUUUAUCAAAAACACAGGUCUCUGCUAAACCGUAAGGUGAUGUAUAGGGGCUGACGCCUGCCCGGUGCUGGAAGGUUAAGAGGAGUGGUUAGCUUCUGCGAAGCUACGAAUCGAAGCCCCAGUAAACGGCGGCCGUAACGAUAACGGUCCUAAGGUAGCGAAAUUCCUUGUCGGGUAAGUUCCGACCUGCACGAA